AACAAAACUGCCUAGUUUCUUAGCUUGACCCAUGGAGACUCUGCUUUUCAUAAUAACACUGCUUAAGGAUACCAGAUCUUUUUAAAGCUGUUUUGAAGAUCAAAAAACCAUCUUUAGAGUUCAUUACUAUUAGCAAAACCUCAGUAACAAAAGUCUGAUCUUUGGUGGUGGAGAUGAGGGGGCAGAUGUGGAGAGAGAGGGAAAGGACGGUUAUUUACCGAGUUCUAAUUGCCGAGCACUGUGUCAGGGCUUCACCUGUUGCUUUCCCCAUCAACCACAUAUAGUUUAAAAGUGGGUCUUCAGAGCUCCAGGUCAAACAGCAGGCUCUUUAUUUCCAUUUCAGGAAUCCCCGUUGCCUCCUUUAAGAGACAAGAAGACCCACAAAUCCUGUCUCGCUGUUCCUAAGGUACAGAAACUGAAGUCAUUUUUCUCUUCCUUUCUUGGAAAAAUGCUGUUAUGUCUGCAGAGCAUAAGUCUGUAAAAACACAAAAAUUAAUAUAUCAUAUCCAUCUUCAAAGUAGCCAUAUUUGGGAAUAGGGAAACUACAGUGAGUAUUUUUCCUGCAGCAAAUCAGAGGCUAAUCCAGACGCCCAAGCCCCAGAAUGCACCUGUGUUCGGCAGCUGUAUCUGGGGAAGUCACCCAGCAUGAUCUACUGUGCUGGCUCUUUCCAAGAGGAGCCUCAGAAGGAAGGAGAAAAAUGUCUGAGGGCUCGUCUGGGGAGAAAUAAAAGAAAUAAUUGUUCUAAAAAAAAGGAGAAAUUGGUAUUUCACCGGCAGCCUAAGAUGCACAGAAGCACUUUAAACUCCUGUGGCUGGCAUCCGUCAUCUGAAAAUCACCAACUUGUUUAAAAAUCCCUCACCGGGGGAUUGUGCUGCUGCUGCCAGGCAGCCUGAAACCGAGUGUGUCUAGAUACUCAUAUGUCCUCGACGGGGGCCCUGGGGGACUCUGGUGUGCUGCGGCCUGAAUGCCUCUUGCCAACAUUCGUAUGGGAACGGCAGAACAAGAAACUCGAUUUCAGCACAAGUCAGCUGCUAUGGAGAAGGAGCCACGUGGAAGUGAGGUUUCGCCAUCAAGGUUUCAAUGAGCCCCAGGUGUACGGCAAAGGGGGAGGAUAUUUGCCCCAGACAAGGUCCCCUAUUGCAGUGCACACUGUUCCCGGUUCUGGCUUUCUUAACACAGAGACAAAAUGAUCCUGCCUGGAAACAACGCAAGUGUUGUGAUACACAGAGCUGUGGGGUGAUGGAAAUCAAACUAACAGUGGUUUAAGCCUUGAUGAAACUGAGCUAUGAUGAAACAUGGCACGAGGUGGUUUGGGAAGGGCUGCACAGGGGAAGAUGGAGCACAGCAACAGUGGGCUGAAGAUCUUUGCGUGUCUAGUCUGCUGCUGCUGCUGCUAAGUCGCUUCAGUCGUGUCCGACUCUGUGUGACCUCAUAGACAGCAGCCCAUUAGGCUCCUCUGUCCCUGGGAUUCUCCAGGCUUCCACAUCACCUUCCUCCUCUGACCACUCUUCCUCUGCAGCCCAAGGACUGAAUGAGAAGGUUGUACCAACUAUCACUUCUGGGUAUUUUGGUUGUACAUGCACAGAUCAAAGAGAUGACUACUGGGUGGUCUUAGUGGACCAACUGUGAUGUGAAGCUCCACCAAGACUGCAUACAUAAUGCGGCCUCUGUAUGCAUCCAUGUAAUAAGGAUGUCAGCAUGAUGCUGUGAAUUUCUGGGUAUCACUGUCAACCUGGAUUCUGUGUCCUGCAGUCCUCUGGAUGUUGAUACACUCCCUUCUCCCUGGUUCAGAGUUAUCCCAAGUAAAUGGCCAUCGGUUCCUUUGGAGCUGAACUGGAAUACUGCUGCCUUUCAUGCUUGCCAAUUAUUUCAGUGCCUUCUUCCGGGGUGGGACGGGGGCAGGGGGGUGGGGCAGUCUCUUCUUCAGCUGGGGGUUUCCUAGUGAGAAAGGAUACUCAGGUUUUUAGACCAGACAGUGGAUCAUGGC
ensembl:lncRNA